rnacentral:misc_RNA from 1 species
AAUUCUCAACUUCAUAGUUUUAUUAUGAUGUUUGGAUUUGGAAGGUUGCUGGCGAAAGUCGGCUCUUCUUAAAUAUAUUAGCUGCUUUUCUGUGAGUUGGCUCAGAGUGUGAUAAGUAUCUACACUUGGUGGCUGCUUGCCUUGGAUGUGGCUUCUAAUUGUCUUCGGACAACUUCUUAAGAU